AUCUUUCUAGUAUCAAGUCAGUACAUUUGACUUCCAAUCAAACAGUCUUGGUUAAAAUCCAAGGAAAGAUA
rnacentral:tRNA from 1 species